AUGGCGCCGUGGUCUAAACUCCCGCAGAGCCUCCUAGCCCUGGUCUUUGCGCGCAUCUUUUUCCCUGUCGAUCGUGCUUGCUUUCAGGCCGUGUGCCGUUCUUGGCGCUCUGCAGCGCGCCCCCCUGCGAGGCAGCUUCCAUGGAUCGUGUUCCCGAAUGGCGGGGUCAUGACCCCCUUUGACCGUGUUGUGCAUCGCAUCGCCUCCUACCCCAAAGCCAUAACGAGCUGCGUUGGUAUGGCUCCCGCCGACCGUACUCUGCACCAGCUUGUCUCCUUGCCCAAGACGACGACAUGCAUUGGCUCUACAGAUGGUUGGAUCGCCAUCGACGACCGUGUGGGCAAGAUGUAUAGAAACUACUUGUUGCACAACAUGUUUUCUGGCACGACAUUAUCUCUCCCCGAGCUGGACGCUGCCAUCGGCCAUGUUUCCAAGCUUUUCAACAUACGCAAGGUGUUGUUGCGGUCCACCCCGGAUGACGUCAUUGCUCUCAUGACCAACCAUCGCAGUUGCCCCAUCAUCUUAACCCGGCUUGGGAAGGGCGUGUGGUUGCCCAAGUCUUAUGCGGUUCCCCUCGUGAGCAUCAUCGAUGUUGCUUUUCUUGGAGACAGACUUUAUGGGGUCACAAAGGAUGAGGAUCUAGUCUUCCUUGACAUUGCCUUCAAUUAUAGCGGCGUACCCAUUGUUACCGGUGGCAAGUGUGUCAUCGGGGAAGGUUUUGACCAUGAUGAUUACGACGACCAUGACACAGAGGAUGAUGACUUGACCAAGAUGACCAAGAAGGACAUGGUUCCUCAAGAAUUCCGAUAUAUUGAUGUAGACGAGUCCAUGGAGAAUGACAUCAAAACCAUGUGGUACCUGAUCGAGUCACGUGGGAAGCUGCUCAUGGUGAGGCGACAAGUGGUAACGCCUUUUGAGUUCACUCACACGGUAGAGGUUUUCGAGGCCGACAUGAGGGCAGCCAUGUGGGUGCCGGUGGAGGCGUGGCUAGAGGACCAGGCGCUUUUCAUCAGCAGACGGUUCAGCAAGUCUGUCUCUGCUGCUUUCAGCACGGCGAUACAAAAGGAUGCUAUUUAUUUUGCUGACACGGAAGAUGUAUUCGACAUGAGAUCCCAAACAGUGAGUGCCCAAGGGAAUGAUCUCGAUAGCUACAACGCAUACCUAAGGUCGUGGAACUCGAGGCAGCUAAUGUGGGUAUUUCCUCCGGAGCUAGUAGCUUAA
rnacentral:rRNA from 1 species